GUGUAUGUGAGAUGUGCGUUACUUGAACUCUGUGAAGCAUUUAUUUGGUCUGCAUAAUGAGGUGCAGAUAACUCUAAUGAACUUAUCUUCUGCAGCAGAGGUAACUCUGGGUCUUCCUUUCCUGUGGCGGUCCUCAUGAGAGCCAGUUUCAUCAUAGCGCUUGAUCAUUUUUGGGACUGCACUUGAAGAAACUUUCUGGAUUGACUGAUCUUCAUGUCUUAAAAUCCUCAAAAGGUUCUACAGCUGCACCAUCGAGAGCAUCCUGACCGGUUGCAUCCCCGCCUGGUAUGGCAACUGCUCGGCCAUCUGACCGUAAGGCGCUACAGAGGGUAGUGCGUACGUCCCAGUACAUCACUGGGGCCAAACUUCCUGCCAUCCAGGACCUAUAUACUAGGCGGUGUCAGAGGAAAGCCCAUCAAAUUGUCAGAGACUGUUUUCUCUGCUACUGCAAGGCAAGCGGUACCAGAGCGGCAAGUCUAGGACCAAAAGGCUCCUUAACUGCUUCUACCCCCAAGCCAUAAGACUGCUGAACAAUUAAUCAAAUGGCCACCGGACUAUUUACAAUGACAUCCACCCAUCCCUCCAUUUGUUUUGUACACUGCUGCUACUCGUGUUUAUUAUCUAUGUAUAGUCACAUCACCCCUACUUACAUGUACAAAUUACCUCAACUAGCCUGUACCCCCGCACACUGACUUGGUACCGGUACCCCCUUUAUAUAGCCUCCACAUUGACUCUGUACCGGUACCCCCUGUAUAUAGCCUCCACAUUGACUCUGUACCGGUACCCCCUGUAUAUAGCCUCCACAUUGACUCUGUACCGUAACACCCUGUAUAUAGCCUCCACAUUGUCUCUGUACAGUAACACCCUGUAUAUAGCCUCCACAUUGACUCUGUACCGGUACCCCCUGUAUAUAGCCUCCACACUGACUCUGUACCGGUACCGCCUGUAUAUAGCCUCCACAUUGACUCUGUACCGGUACCCCCUGUAUAUAGCCUCCACAUUGACUCUGUACCGGUACCCCCUGUAUAUAGCCUCCACAUUGACUCUGUACCGGUGCCCCCUGUAUAUAGCCUCCACAUUGACUCUGUACCGUUACCCCCUGUAUAUAGCCUCCACAUUGACUCUGUACCGGUACCCCCUGUAUAUAGCCUCCACAUUGACUCUGUACCGGUGCCCCCUGUAUAUAGCCUCCACAUUGACUCUGUACCGGUACCCCCUGUAUAUAGCCUCCACAUUGACUCUGUACCGGUGCCCCCU
rnacentral:lncRNA from 1 species